AGAGCGAACGCUGGCGGCAGGCUUAACACAUGCAAGUCGAACGGGUAUCUUCGGAUACUAGUGGCAGACGGGUGAGUAACACGUGGGAACGUACCUUUCGGUUCGGAAUAAUACAGGGAAACUUGUACUAAUACCGGAUAAGCCCUUCGGGGGAAAGAUUUAUCGCCGAUAGAUCGGCCCGCUCUGAUUAGCUAGUUGGUGAGGUAAUGGCUCACCGAAGGCCGACGAUCAGUAGCUGGUCUGAGAGGAUGAUCACGCCA
rnacentral:rRNA from 1 species